CCUCGGAAGAGUGAACUAGCUAACUGAAAUCAAUAAAAUAUUGAUAACGUAAGGGGAAAUAAUGAUGGUACCUUACUAUAAGUGUCGCCCAAAUCUGGUGCCAGAAGACUCGGUAAGGCCAGAUACGCGAACGUUAAUCGCCUUAAUCAGGCGUAAAGGGUGUGUAGGCAGCUUUGACACUAUCAAUUUUCAAUUAGCACAAUAUAAAAUUAAUAAAGCUUUUAACAUUUUUUUUUAAAAUAAUUAAAUUAUUAAUUAAGAAAUGUUUAAUAAAAAAAAGAAUAAUUAAUUUAAUAUAAAGGAAGAAUGGUAACAAUUAAAGCUAGAAUCAAAUAGAGGUUAUAUUAAAGAAUGCUUGGAGUAGGGCUGAUAUCCUUAGAUACCAGGUAGAAUAUUAAGAGCGAAGGCUUUUUUCCAUUGAUGAUUGACGCUGAGACACGAAGGGGAGGAAAGGAAAUAGGAUUAGAUACCCNAAAUACCCCUCCCUGUCAACGAUGAAUGGUGGUUACUAGUUAUAAUAAUUAGUGGCGAUGUUAACACGAUAACCAUUCCGCCUUGUGAGUACGACUGCAAAGUUAAAAACCAAAAAAUUAGUCGGUUUCGAAGCAAACGAAGUNCACAU
rnacentral:rRNA from 1 species